AUGUUGUAUGAAAGGAGAGAAAGUUAGCACUCCCCUCACAAGGAUGGAAGAGGCUUUGCCUUCAACACAUAUACAUAUGAUUAAGGCACUGCCACCUACUUCAUCACAUCUAACCAACAUUUUAA